rnacentral:tRNA from 3 species
GCCGAGGUGGCGGAACUGGCAGACGCGGUUGACUCAAAAUCAACAGGAGCUAGGCUCCGUGCGGGUUCAAGUCCCGCCCUCGGCACCA